UACAGAGGUCUCAAGCGUUGUUCGGAAUCACUGGGCGUAAAGGGUGCGUAGGCUGCACGGUAAGUCAGAGGUGAAAUCCCGGAGCUCAACUUCGGAAUUGCCUCCGAUACUGCUGUGCUUGAGGACUGGAGAGGAGAUUGGAAUUCACAGUGGAGCAGUGAAAAUGCGUAGAUAUUGUGAGGAACACUAGUGGCGAAGGCGAAUCUCUGGACAGUUCCUGACGCUGAGGCACGAAGGCCAGGGGAGCAAACGGG
rnacentral:rRNA from 1 species